rnacentral:rRNA from 1 species
CCCUUAGAUGUUCUGGGCCGCACGCGUGCUACACUGAGUGGAUCAGCGGGUCAGGUUGCGCGGAAGCGUUUCCUAAUCUUUAAAUCCGCUCGUGAUGGGGAUUGACGGUUGUAAUUUUCUGUCAUGAACGAGGAAUACCUUGUAAGCGCGGGUCAUCAUCCCGCGCUGAAUACGUCCCUGCCCUUUGUACACACCGCCCGUCGCUCCUACCGAUUGAGUGGUCCGGUGAGGCUUUGGGAUCUGAGCGGAAAGAGCGUUUCGCUGUUUCUGCUCGGAAAACUCAGUCGAACCUUAUCAUUUAGAGGAAGGAGAAGUCGUAACA